CUGCCGCUGUUCACCUGAGCCAGGAGCCAGGGCUUCAGACGGAUCCUCCGAGGCUGGACGCUCAUGGCGUAGGGGGACUGGGAUCACCGGGAGGAGCUGCAGGCUGACGCCAGACUGAUCUCAGAGAGAGGAGGAGUCUGAGCACCUGGAGACAGGAGGGAGAUGGACGGCAAAGUAGCCAAAAUGACAUGUGGAGUUCCGAACUGUGGAGGAGCUGAAGUCCAGUCAGGUAGCCACGAUGGAUGUUUCUCUUCAUUCA